rnacentral:rRNA from 1 species
UACGUAGGGGGCAAGCGUUGUCCGGAUUCAUUGGGCGUAAAGAGCGUGUAGGCGGCCAGGUAGGUCGGUUGUGAAAACUGGAGGCUCAACCUUCAGAGGUCGACCGAAACCAUCUGGCUAGAGUCCGGGAGAGGAGAGUGGAAUUCCUGGUGUAGCGGUGAAAUGCGCAGAUAUCAGGAGGAACACCUGUGGUGUAGACAGCUUACUGGACCAUUUCUGACGCUGAGACACGAAAGCGUGGGUAGCAAACAGG